rnacentral:rRNA from 1 species
AGAGUUUGAUCAUGGCUCAGAUUGAACGCUGGCGGCAGGCCUAACACAUGCAAGUCGAACGGUAACAGGAAGCAGCUUGCUGCUUCGCUGACGAGUGGCGGACGGGUGAGUAAUGUCUGGGAAGCUGCCUGAUGGAGGGGGAUAACUACUGGAAACGGUAGCUAAUACCGCAUAAUGUCGCAAGACCAAAGAGGGGGACCUUCGGGCCUCUUGCCAUCGGAUGCGCCCAGAUGGGAUUAGCUUGUUGGUGGGGUAACGGCUCACCAAGGCGACGAUCCCUAGCUGGUCUGAGAGGAUGACCAGCCACACUGGAACUGAGACACGGUCCAGACUCCUACGGGAGGCAGCAGUGGGGAAUAUUGCACAAUGGGCGCAAGCCUGAUGCAGCCAUGCCGCGUGUAUGAAGAAGGCCUUCGGGUUGUAAAGUACUUUCAGCGGGGAGGAAGGGAGUAAAGUUAAUACCUUUGCUCAUUGACGUUACCCGCAGAAGAAGCACCGGCUAACUCCGUGCCAGCAGCCGCGGUAAUACGGAGGGUGCAAGCGUUAAUCGGAAUUACUGGGCGUAAAGCGCACGCAGGCGGUUUGUUAAGUCAGAUGUGAAAUCCCCGGGCUCAACCUGGGAACUGCAUCUGAUACUGGCAAGCUUGAGUCUCGUAGAGGGGGGUAGAAUUCCAGGUGUAGCGGUGAAAUGCGUAGAGAUCUGGAGGAAUACCGGUGGCGAAGGCGGCCCCCUGGACGAAGACUGACGCUCAGGUGCGAAAGCGUGGGGAGCAAACAGGAUUAGAUACCCUGGUAGUCCACGCCGUAAACGAUGUCGACUUGGAGGUUGUGCCCUUGAGGCGUGGCUUCCGGAGCUAACGCGUUAAGUCGACCGCCUGGGGAGUACGGCCGCAAGGUUAAAACUCAAAUGAAUUGACGGGGGCCCGCACAAGCGGUGGAGCAUGUGGUUUAAUUCGAUGCAACGCGAAGAACCUUACCUGGUCUUGACAUCCACGGAAGUUUUCAGAGAUGAGAAUGUGCCUUCGGGAACCGUGAGACAGGUGCUGCAUGGUUGUCGUCAGCUCGUGUUGUGAAAUGUUGGGUUAAGUCCCGCAACGAGCGCAACCCUUAUCCUUUGUUGCCAGCGGUCCGGCCGGGAACUCAAAGGAGACUGCCAGUGAUAAACUGGAGGAAGGUGGGGAUGACGUCAAGUCAUCAUGGCCCUUACGACCAGGGCUACACACGUGCUACAAUGGCGCAUACAAAGAGAAGCGACCUCGCGAGAGCAAGCGGACCUCAUAAAGUGCGUCGUAGUCCGGAUUGGAGUCUGCAACUCGACUCCAUGAAGUCGGAAUCGCUAGUAAUCGUGGAUCAGAAUGCCACGGUGAAUACGUUCCCGGGCCUUGUACACACCGCCCGUCACACCAUGGGAGUGGGUUGCAAAAGAAGUAGGUAGCUUAACCUUCGGGAGGGCGCUUACCACUUUGUGAUUCAUGACUGGGGUGAAGUCGGAACAAGGUAACCGUAGGGGAACCUGCGGUUG